UUUUGGGUUAUCUUUCCUUAGAAGUGUAUGUUUUUUAGGGUUUUAACUUGUUCUUAUUUAGCAAAGCUUGGAACUUUAUUAUACAAAUUCACGGGCUAAAUCAAUGAAGAUGAUGAUGAUGAUGUUCUUAUUGUGUUCUUGAGUGCUCUUCUUUUGUUUUCUUAGAUUUCUAGAUUAUUUUGGGUUCAAUCAUCAAAUCGAUUGGUGUGUUGGAUCUGAAAUUUGUUGAGAAACAUCACUGGCAUUGUAGAUCUGGGUUUUGGGACCUAUAAUUUGAUAUCAGAUAUUAAUGUUCUUGGUUGUUUAAAAUUUUAGGGCUUUUGAAAAAGUUUCAUAGUUUUUACAAUUUCUAAGAUCUAGAUCUGAUUAUGAUGGAUUGGUUGUUGUUUCUUACUUAAAACACUUACAAAUUUGAUUUGGAAGCUUCCUAUUAAUUCAACUGAUGAGUUGAUUGUAUUUAUGGAUUGUUUUGUGUGAUUUUGGUGUUGAAUAGUUAAAAGGGGUUGUUUCAGCAAGAUCAACGACACCGGUUCUCGAAUAUGGUGACACUGACGGUUAUUGAUUUUAAAUUGAAGAAGGGUUUCCUCGAGGCACUACUAGCGACCCUCAAGCUUUAAGCCGUAAUCUGUUUGGCAUCGCAUAUCAGUGUUCACUAAUUCUGUUUGAGCGACACAGAACCAGCAACACUUAAGCUUCUGACGACACUAUUGCAUAUUCUCUUAAAAUCCCUUCAAAAUCUUCAAAUUGCUCAAAGUGAUCUUGAACUUAUUCCCACAUCUAGACUACCUACACUGAAGUCUAGUGAUGAGUUUGUUAAAUAGAAAGGAAAAAUGGAAAAAUAAAAUUACUUCACUAAUGCAUCUU
rnacentral:lncRNA from 1 species